rnacentral:rRNA from 1 species
AUACGGAGGAUCCGAGCGUUAUCCGGAUUUAUUGGGUUUAAAGGGUGCGCAGGCGGGAGAUUAAGUCGGCGGUGAAAUUUUUCAACUCAAAUGUAAAAGAGCCUUCGAAACUGGUUUCUUUGAGUGUAGAUGAAACAGGCGGGAUUUGGGGUUUAGCGGUGAAAUGCAUAGAUAUCACGAGGAACUCCGAUUGCGCAGGCAGCUUACUAAACUACUACUGACGCUCAGGCACGAAGGCGUGGGGAUCAAACAGGAUUAGAUACCCUGGUAGUCCACGCAGUAAACGAUGAUUACUAGCUGUUUGCGAUACAAUGUAAGCGGCUGAGCGAAAGCGUUAAGUAAUCCACCUGGGGAGUACGUUCGCAAGAAUGAAACUCAAAGGAAUUGACGGG